UGUACACGAAGGAAAAUGCUUGUUUU
rnacentral:piRNA from 1 species